AUUGAACGCUGGCGGCAGGCCUAACACAUGCAAGUCGAGCGGUAGCACAGAGAGCUUGCUCUCGGGUGACGAGCGGCGGACGGGUGAGUAAUGUCUGGGAAACUGCCUGAUGGAGGGGGAUAACUACUGGAAACGGUAGCUAAUACCGCAUAACGUCGCAAGACCAAAGUGGGGGACCUUCGGGCCUCAUGCCAUCAGAUGUGCCCAGAUGGGAUUAGCUAGUAGGUGGGGUAACGGCUCACCUAGGCGACGAUCCCUAGCUGGUCUGAGAGGAUGACCAGCCACACUGGAACUGAGACACGGUCCAGACUCCUACGGGAGGCAGCAGUGGGGAAUAUUGCACAAUGGGCGCAAGCCUGAUGCAGCCAUGCCGCGUGUGUGAAGAAGGCCUUCGGGUUGUAAAGCACUUUCAGCGGGGAGGAAGGCGGUGAGGUUAAUAACCUCCUCGAUUGACGUUACCCGCAGAAGAAGCACCGGCUAACUCCGUGCCAGCAGCCGCGGUAAUACGGAGGGUGCAAGCGUUAAUCGGAAUUACUGGGGCGUAAAGCGCACGCAGGCGGUCUGUCAAGUCGGAUGUGAAAUCCCCGGGCUCAACCUGGGAACUGCAUUCGAAACUGGCAGGCUAGAGUCUUGUAGAGGGGGGUAGAAUUCCAGGUGUAGCGGUGAAAUGCGUAGAGAUCUGGAGGAAUACCGGUGGCGAAGGCGGCCCCCUGGACAAAGACUGACGCUCAGGUGCGAAAGCGUGGGGAGCAAACAGGAUUAGAUACCCUGGUAGUCCACGCCGUAAACGAUGUCGAUUUGGAGGUUGUGCCCUUGAGGCGUGGCUUCCGGAGCUAACGCGUUAAAUCGACCGCCUGGGGAGUACGGCCGCAAGGUUAAAACUCAAAUGAAUUGACGGGGGCCCGCACAAGCGGUGGAGCAUGUGGUUUAAUUCGAUGCAACGCGAAGAACCUUACCUGGUCUUGACAUCCACAGAACUUUCCAGAGAUGGAUUGGUGCCUUCGGGAACUGUGAGACAGGUGCUGCAUGGCUGUCGUCAGCUCGUGUUGUGAAAUGUUGGGUUAAGUCCCGCAACGAGCGCAACCCUUAUCCUUUGUUGCCAGCGGUUAGGCCGGGAACUCAAAGGAGACUGCCAGUGAUAAACUGGAGGAAGGUGGGGAUGACGUCAAGUCAUCAUGGCCCUUACGACCAGGGCUACACACGUGCUACAAUGGCAUAUACAAAGAGAAGCGACCUCGCGAGAGCAAGCGGACCUCAUAAAGUAUGUCGUAGUCCGGAUUGGAGUCUGCAACUCGACUCCAUGAAGUCGGAAUCACUAGUAAUCGUAGAUCAGAAUGCUACGGUGAAUAAGUGGCCCGGGCCU
rnacentral:rRNA from 1 species